rnacentral:rRNA from 1 species
AACGAACGCUGGCGGCAUGCCUAACACAUGCAAGUCGAACGAGACCUUCGGGUCUAGUGGCGCACGGGUGCGUAACGCGUGGGAACCUGCCCUUAGGUUCGGAAUAACUCCCCGAAAGGGGUGCUAAUACCGGAUAAUGUCUUCGGACCAAAGAUUUAUCGCCUUUGGAUGGGCCCGCGUUGGAUUAGCUAGUUGGUAGGGUAAAAGCCUACCAAGGCGACGAUCCAUAGCUGGUCUGAGAGGAUGAUCAGCCACACUGGGACUGAGACACGGCCCAGACUCCUACGGGGGGGGGGAGGGGGGAAUAUUGAACAAGGGGGGAAAGCUGGACCCACCAUUCCGCGGGGAGGGAUAAAGCCUUUGGGGUUGAAAAGCUUUUUUCCCCGGGAUGAUAAUCACAGCACGGGGAAAAUAAGCCCCGGCUAACUCCGUG